AUUUUAGUUGUAACAUAUUUAACACCGGACUACUAAAAGCUAUAAUCUCCAAAUUUAAAGGAUUUGGCGGUAAUUUAGUCCAGUCAGAGGAACCUGUGUUUUAAACGAUAAACCACGCAAAAUCUUACCUUUAUUACAGUUUGUAUACCGUCAUUAUUAGAUAACUUUUAAAAAAAAAGUUAUUGAAAUAAACCUCUUUUAAUAUAUUAGAUCAAGGUGCAGCUUAUAUAUAGGUCUUUCAUGGGUUACAUUAAAAUUUAUUUACACGCAUACGAAUUUGAAAUUAUUCGACCAAGGAGGAUUUGAUAGUAAUUAUAGUUUAAUAUGCUAUAUUGAUAAAGGACCUAAAUUAUGUACAUAUCGCCCGUCACUUUCAUUUCCAAAUGAAAUAAGUCGUAACAUAG
rnacentral:rRNA from 1 species